rnacentral:rRNA from 1 species
AUGAUUGGGAGAUUCUUUUGGGCAAACCAAGAAGAGGAAAAUAAAGUUCAUUGGGUCAUUUGGGAAAAGCUUACUCUUCCAAAGGACGAGGGGGGUCUUGGGUAUAGGGAUCUUCAUUCCUUUAACCUCGCAGUGCUAGCAAAACAGGGCUAGAAGCUGCUCAUGGAUCCAAAUUCCCUAUGUGCACAAGUUCUUAGGGCUAAAUAUUACCCGAACGGGGAUCUGUUAAAUGCUCAACCGAAGGAUGGUAUUUCUUACACAUGGAGAAGUAUCUUGAAGGGAAUUGAGAUACUGAAGGAAGGGGUGAUCAAAAGAGUAGGGGGUGGUACCCCCAUACAAAUUUGGAAUGACUGUUGGUUGCCUCGGAAAUUGUCUAGAAAACCAAUCUCAGUGAGGGGACAAUCAUCGCUCACAUUAGUAUAUGAAUUGAUCAACCCAUAUACUGAAAGCUAG